rnacentral:rRNA from 1 species
UACGUAGGGUGCGAGCGUUGUCCGGAAUUUAUUGGGCGUAAAGAGCUCGUAGGCGGUUUGUCGCGUCUGCUGUGAAAACUCGGGGCUUAACUCCGGGCCUGCAGUGGGUACGGGCAGACUAGAGUGCGGUAGGGGAGACUGGAAUUCCUGGUGUAGCGGUGAAAUGCGCAGAUAUCAGGAGGAACACCGGUGGCGAAGGCGGGUCUCUGGGCCGUAACUGACGCUGAGGAGCGAAAGCGUGGGGAGCGAACAGG